rnacentral:rRNA from 1 species
ACCACGUUGAUAGGACGGGUGUGGAAGCACAGCAAUGUGUGAAGCUUACCGUUACUAAUAGCUCGAUCGACUUCUUCGUUCCCAUU